rnacentral:lncRNA from 1 species
GCACGCUGUUCCUUCUCAACCAAGAAGGCUUCCCGGCGCCGACCACCCCUGCUUCCCUUCUCCUCCACCGCCGGCGCUGCUUCCUGGUCGGCGACCACCGCCGCCGCUGCUCCCCGGUCAGCGCCCACCGCUGUCGCUGUGCCCCGGCCAGCAACCUUCUCACCUCGCCUCCUCGCUGCCCGCAUCUCGCUCGAGCGAGAACAGCCGCGGCCGCCGAUUCCCAGCCAGCGGACCACCCAUCGCCGCUUAUACCGUCGGCGACGCUGCCCUAGCCGCAUCGCCAUCGCUGGCUUCCCUUGGUUGCAGCUUCGGCCGUGCGAUCUGUCGGUGUCGCUGUUUCUGUGGUGCGAUAGAAACAGAGCAGCCGCCGGUCCCUCUGCUGCCGCAGGCGUCGGUCGCCUCUACAGCCGCCGACUCCUCCUUCUCCACCGCUGCCGCUGCUUCUCGGCCGCANNNNNNNNNNNNNNNNNNNNCUGCCGCCCGCCUCCCAGCCGCAACCCUCGCCGUGCCCCCCCCUUGGGUCGCAGCCGCAGCCGCCGGUUGCCGCAGCCCUCGUUGCAACAGUUGCAGAAACAGAGCUACCUCUGUUGCUGCAGCCCCUGUCGAUCCUGGCCGCGACCCUCGCUGCCUCCUUCUCCACCGCCAACGCUGCGCUCCUGCCAGCGACCACCGCUGCUGCCAGUCACCGCAGCCUUCUCCUCAACUGCUCGUGAUCCUUCCGGCCAACUCCUUCGGUGGUGCGACAAAAACAGAGUACGCAGCAACAAAAAUAGUGGCACCCUCUGCUGCCGCAGCCGCCGAUUGUAAUCAUCGUCGUCGCUCCCAGCCAACAACCAAUCCCUCGUUCUGCAGCAGUCGCCCUCCAACAGUGAACGUAGCAACCGCAGCAAGUACGCUGCCUUGCCUCAACCCCGUUGCUCGGCGAUCGCCCCUUGGGUCGCAGCAACUGCAACCACAUCAACGUAGUCGCCUUCCAACCCCUGCGCUCUCACCUCACGCAGCGAUAGAAACAGGGUAGCUACUCUUCCUCCAACACAGCAACUGCAGCACUGUCCUUGGCGUCCACCUCCUCG